GGUAAGAUGGCUGAGGUUUAGGCGGUGGGUUGUAGCUCCACGAACAGAGGUUUAACUCCUCUUCUUAUCA
rnacentral:tRNA from 1 species